AUUGAACGCUGGCGGCAGGCUUAACACAUGCAAGUCGAACGAGUGGCGGACGGGUGAGUAAUGCUUGGGAAUCUAGCUUAUGGAGGGGGAUAACUACGGGAAACUGUAGCUAAUACCGCGUACCAUAGGAUGAGCCCAAGUGGGAUUAGGUAGUUGGUGAGGUAACGGCUAACCAAGGCGACGAUCUCUAGCUGGUCUGAGAGGAUGACCAGCCACACGGGAACUGAGACACGGGCCAGACGCCUACGGGGGGCAGCAGUGGGGAAUAUUGCACAAUGGGCGCAAGCCUGAUGCAGCCAUGCCGGGUGUAUGAAGAAGGCCGUAGGGUUGUAAAGUACUUUCAGUGGGGAGGCGUUACCGGCAGAAGAAGCACCGGCUAACUCCGUGCCAGCAGCCGCGGUAAUAC
rnacentral:rRNA from 1 species